rnacentral:rRNA from 1 species
AGAGUUUGAUUAUGGCUCAGAAUGAACGCUGGCGGCAUGCCUAACACAUGCAAGUCGAACGAAGGCUUCGGCCUUAGUGGCGCACGGGUGCGUAACGCGUGGGAAUCUGCCCCUUGGUUCGGAAUAACAGUUGGAAACGACUGCUAAUACCGGAUGACGACGUAAGUCCAAAGAUUUAUCGCCGAGGGAUGAGCCCGCGUAGGAUUAGGUAGUUGGUGUGGUAAAGGCGCACCAAGCCGACGAUCCUUAGCUGGUCUGAGAGGAUGAUCAGCCACACUGGGACUGAGACACGGCCCAGACUCCUACGGGAGGCAGCAGUGGGGAAUAUUGGACAAUGGGCGAAAGCCUGAUCCCAGCAAUGCCGCGUGAGUGAUGAAGGCCCUAGGGUUGUAAAGCUCUUUUACCCGGGAUGAUAAUGACAGUACCGGGAGAAUAAGCUCCGGCUAACUCCGUGCCAGCCGCCGC